GCCCAGACUCCUACGGGAGGCAGCAGUGGGGAAUAUUGCACAAUGGGGGAAACCCUGAUGCAGCGACGCCGCGUGAGCGAUGAAGUAUUUCGGUAUGUAAAGCUCUAUCAGCAGGGAAGAAGAUGACGGUACCUGACUAAGAAGCCCCGGCUAACUACGUGCCAGCAGCCGCGGUAAUACGUAGGGGGCAAGCGUUAUCCGGAUUUACUGGGUGUAAAGGGAGCGUAGACGGCGAUGCAAGCCAGAUGUGAAAGCCCGGGGCUCAACCCCGGGACUGCAUUUGGAACUGUGUGGCUGGAGUGUCGGAGAGGCAGGCGGAAUUCCUAGUGUAGCGGUGAAAUGCGUAGAUAUUAGGAGGAACACCAGUGGCGAAGGCGGCCUGCUGGACGAUGACUGACGUUGAGGCUCGAAAGCGUGGGGAGCAAACAGGAUUAGAUACCCUUGUAUC
rnacentral:rRNA from 1 species